GUGCUUGUUUUGGCAGCACAUGUACCAAAAGUGGAAUGAUGUAGAGAAGAUAGCAUGGCUUCUUCACAGGUAUGACAUGCAAGUUUGUAAAGCAUUCCAUGUUUUU
ensembl:snRNA U6 U6 spliceosomal RNA